UUAUAGUGUUUCGAUGAUUUGUUCGCUCACAUAGUUCCGUGCCUCUUUCCUGUCUUUGCCAACUUUUCCCACUUCAGCCAGAAAAAGACAGAAACACUCAUGAUUUGUGGGUGAAAAUGUGCGCUAAAAUAUGGUGAAAACUUCAAUUCAGUCCAUCACAGGGACACAUAUGGCGCGUUUCCACCGGCUCUACUCGCCCCGCCUCUCCUCGGCACGGCACGAUUAGGUCGCAUCUCCACUACAAAAAAGUACCUACUUAACGUGGGCGGAGUCAUCACUGCACGGCUGAGUGAAACUACGGUGACUUGUUUUAUACGCGACACGCACACACAAACACGUGACUAGGUGACUUUCAGGAUUUUUAAGUAGUUUUAACUGAUCUAUAAUUCGGCACUGUUCGGCUUGAUUUCUGUCCACACGUCUCCGGAGCACAGCCUGCAGGUCUGUGACGCGGUCGCUGGCGCCGUCCCUAAAUACACCACUCCACUUUAAAAGACUGCUGUUAAAUAUAGAGGUUUCCCUGGUAGUUGUUGAAGAUGAACCCACGUUUUUAGGAUUAUUAAGUAGUUUUAAGUGAUCUACAGUUCGGCGCUGUUCGUCUUGAUUUGAGAGUGGGACGUAUCUUCCUGUGACGGGACUCUGGCCACUCAGCGGCCGGCAGUCCGCUGACCAAUCAUCGCAUAGUACCUACUACUAGCACGCUUGGAACCUCGCCGGAGCAGGUACUAAAUAUAGUACCUGGUACCAGGUACUAUGCUAGUGGAAACACUACUUAAACUUUGCCGUGGCGAGGCGAGUAGAGCCGGUGGAAAUGCGCCAAUAGAGACAAACAACCAUCCACUCUCACACUCACACCUAAAGGAAAGUGAACACCACCAGGGAAAACAGGAGGCAGGUCAUCGGCAGCCACUUUCCCCUGCACGGCUCUUUUCUCCCCUGUGCAUUUACCUACGAUGAUGAUCAUCUGAUCCAGACAGUGGUUGUCUCUGAACGCGUCACAGCUGCUGCCCGCUGAUCGAACCUGACAACAUGUACGAUUAUCAUCAUCAUCAUCACCAUCCUCAUCCUCGUCAUGACCGCCGAGGCCCCUCAUGUCUUUGAGACGACGGACCGGACACCGACUGCACAUCAUUGUUGAUGUUGCUGUUGACUGAGCAACAGCAACUGUGCAGACUGAUGCGACCACUGCCACAGAUUCCCCUCUCAGCUGUGUUCGCUGACCCUUACGGUCCCUCCGGCAGCUCCCAUCUUCUCCUUGAAUCCGUCAUCCUCGAGGGCAGAGCACUAAGGAGCAAGAGCAAUCACUGUUCUCCAUCAUGAGCAAGAAGACCCGGGUUCACGACCCGGUCGGAACAAGGACCUUUCUCCUUGGAGUUCACAUGUUCUCACCAUGUGAAUGUCGGUUUUCUCCAGGUUCUCCAGUUUCCGGACACUCUAAAUUGACUGUAGAUGUG